CCUACGGGAGGCAGCAGUGGGGAAUAUUGCACAAUGGGGGAAGCCCUGAUGCAGCGACGCCGCGUGAAGGAAGAAGUCUUUCUGUAUUUAAACUUCUAUCAGCACGGAAGAAAAUGCCGGUACCUGACUAAGAAUCCCCGGCUAACUACGUGCCAGCAGCCGCGGUAAUACGUAGGGGGCAAGCGUUAUCCGGAUUUACUGGGUGUAAAGGGAGCGUAGGCGGUUUAGCAAGUCAGAAGUGAAAGCCAGGGGCUCAACUCCGGUACUGCUUUUGAUACUGUUGAACUAGAGUGCAGGAGAGGUAAGUGGAAUGCCUAGUGUAGCGGUGAAAUGCGUAGAGAUUAGAAGGAACACCAGUGGCGAAGGCGGCUUACUGGACUGUAAAUGACGCUGAGGCUCGAAAGCGUGGGGAGCAAACAGGAUUAGAUACCCGUGUAGUC
rnacentral:rRNA from 1 species